rnacentral:rRNA from 1 species
CCUACGGGUGGCAGCAGUGAGGAAUAUUGGUCAAUGGGCGCGAGCCUGAACCAGCCAAGUAGCGUGAAGGAUGAAUGCCCUACGGGUUGUAAGCUUCUUUUGUAAAGGAAUAAAGUGAUGCACGUGUGCCUUUUAGUAUGUACGUUAUGAAUAAGGAACGGAGAACUCCGUGCCAGCCGCCGCGGUAAGAUGGAGGGUCCGAGGGUUAUGCGGAUUUACUGGGUUUAAAGGGAGCGUAGAUGGGUUGUUAAGUCAGUUGUGAAAGUGUGCGGCUCAACCGUAAAAUUGCAAUUGAUACUGGCAGUCUUGAGUACAGUUGAGGGAGGCGGAAUUCGUGGUGUAGCGGUGAAAUGCUUAGAUAUCACGAAGAACUCCGAAUGCGAAGGCAGCUUACUAAAAUGGCACUGACAUUGAUGCUCGAAAGUGUGGGUAUCAAACAGGAUUAGAUACCCUUGUAGUC